GAGACGGGAAAAUUAGCGUACGUGAAUACGUGGACUAUCUCAAUGAAAAUAAAGCCACAGAUUUCACUCAUCAGAGCAUCUUCAGCGCGCUGUACAAGGAC